UACUCUGAGCGGUGGAUCACUCGACUUGUGCGUCGAUGAAGAACGCAGAUAGCUGCAAGAACUAAUUUGAAUUGCAGGACACAUUGAUCAUCGACACUUUGAAUGCACUUUGUGGCCCCAGGUUACUCCUGGAGCUACACCUAUCUGAGGGUCA